CCGACGCCAAGCAGGGCGUCGAGCAGGCGUGCUCCGCCGGUGAGUCGCUCUAGAAGGAGCUUGAGGAGAUGGGUGUGCCGGUGUGUCAAGAUCUGUCGCUGGUGUGCUGUAAGGAGUAGAAUUCUGAAUUUAAGUUGGAGGCAACAUUUCUGAACCUUGUACAGAACUGGGCUUUACACAACUGGGUGUUUUCAGGUACUCCAUCAGAGGAGCAGCUCUUCCAUGGGGUCCAGCAGCGUUUCCAGUCGCAGGUAUACGUAUUGUCUGAAACUAUGUACUCCUCCUUGCGACGAGCCAGACGACAAGAGCAAAGGCUCCCCCUUGCAAGCUCGACGGCAGCGGC